CGAGUUUUCACGUUUGGGCGA
rnacentral:miRNA from 1 species